rnacentral:rRNA from 1 species
CAGCCGCCGCGGUAAUACGUAGGUGGCAAGCGUCGUCCGGAAUUAUUGGGCGUAAAGGGCUCGCAGGCGGUUUCUUAAGUCUGAUGUGAAAGCCCCCGGCUCAACCGGGGAGGGUCAUUGGAAACUGGGAAACUUGAGUGCAGAAGAGGAGAGUGGAAUUCCACGUGUAGUGGUGAAAUGCGUAGAGAUGUGGAGGAACACCAGUGGCGAAGGCGACUCUCUGGUCUGUAACUGACGCUGAGGAGCGAAAGCGUGGGGAGCGAACAGGAUUAGAGACCCCAGUAGUCCCUGUCUCUUAUAC